rnacentral:rRNA from 1 species
CCUACGGGAGGCAGCAGUGAGGAAUAUUGGUCAAUGGACGUAAGUCUGAACCAGCCAAGUAGCGUGAAGGAUGAAGGCUCUAUGGGUUGUAAACUUCUUUUAUAGGGGAAUAAAGGUAUCCACGUGUGGCUAUUUGCAUGUACCUUAUGAAUAAGCAUCGGCUAACUCCGUGCCAGCAGCCGCGGUAAUACGGAGGAUGCGAGCGUUAUCCGGAUUUAUUGGGUUUAAAGGGUGCGUAGGUGGUUUUUUAAGUCAGUGGUGAAAGUUUGUGGCUCAACCAUAAAAUUGCCGUUGAAACUGGAAGACUUGAGUGUGUUUGAGGUAGGCGGAAUGCGUGGUGUAGCGGUGAAAUGCAUAGAUAUCACGAAGAACUCCGAUUGCGAAGGCAGCUUACUAAGCCAUAACUGACACUGAAGCACGAAAGUGUGGGUAUCAAACAGGAUUAGAUACCCCAGUAGUC